AGAGUUUGAUCCUGGCUCAGGAUGAACGCUGGCGGCGUGCCUAAUACAUGCAAGUCGAGCGAACAGAUAAGGAGCUUGCUCCUUUGAAGUUAGCGGCGGACGGGUGAGUAACACGUGGGUAACCUACCUAUAAGACUGGGAUAACUUCGGGAAACCGGAGCUAAUACCGGAUAACAUUUAGAACCGCAUGGUUCUAAAGUGAAAGAUGGUUUUGCUAUCACUUAUAGAUGGACCCGCGCCGUAUUAGCUAGUUGGUAAGGUAACGGCUUACCAAGGCGACGAUACGUAGCCGACCUGAGAGGGUGAUCGGCCACACUGGAACUGAGACACGGUCCAGACUCCUACGGGAGGCAGCAGUAGGGAAUCUUCCGCAAUGGGCGAAAGCCUGACGGAGCAACGCCGCGUGAGUGAUGAAGGGUUUCGGCUCGUAAAACUCUGUUAUUAGGGAAGAACAAAUGUGUAAGUAACUGUGCACAUCUUGACGGUAUCUAAUCAGAAAGCCACGGCUAACUACGUG
rnacentral:rRNA from 1 species